UGGGCCUAGAGCAAUUAUCUGGGUGGUGGUGGAAAGGAUGCUGGCAUUAUCUAGGUUGUGGCCCCUUGGCCUCCUGGACGGGGUAAGCCAAUAAAGAAAUUGCACUUAUUUGUGAGGUUUCCCUUGCAUUCCUCUGCUCCUGUGCACCUGACUGCUGAAGGCAUCCCCCUCAGCUUCAUCUGAAGCCCUUUCUGAGCACUAUGUGUUGAUGAAAGUGUUCUACUAAAUGCUAUAGAACUCAGCGGGAAUGGCCCAGUUAGCUCUGCUAGCACAUUCCAGGAGACUCUGGCAGACAGGUGUGGAUUUCAGCCCUGGCUAACAUGAACAAGCUCAGGUUCCUCUGCAGUAUCCUAGCCACAGUAGGAACUCUUCACAAGCUUUCUGGCUGGGAUAUUCAAGGGGAGGUUCAUCAGUGGGUGGCUUAAAGCCAAAGAUUUAUAUCAAAUUAUUCCUUAUGUCUAACUUAAGGGAAUGGAGAGACAUGAAAAGCAAGGUGGAUUUAGCACCUCUUAUUUGCAGGCAGCAGUGUACCUUCAUUUCACACUUUCUCUCACAUAAAACCCCUGUUGUCCUGUAAGAUAGGAAUCAUCUCAUUUAAUAGACUGGGAAACCAUAGCCCAGAAAGUCUUAAUAAUUUGACCAUGGUCACAUAGCUGGUAAGUGGUAUAGUCUGGUUUCAAGUAGAAGUUCAUCUGAUUCCUACCCCUGAAUGGUUUUCCCAUUCUGUUGAAGCCAUGUUGGGGCUCUAUGGAAUAUUUUUGGUGCCUGAGGCAUUAAUAUGCCUAUCUGUAUAAGAUGAGGUGUGGUGUCCAGAUGAAGAGGAUACCCCUGGGUAGCCCAUUUCUUUAUGAAGCAGAGAUCCCAGUUUGAGCCUUACUGCUACUCACCCUAGGAUUCGGGUAUGGCUGGUGGAAGGUUGGGGAGGCUCUAGGGUGCUUCCUGGGAAAGCCCUCCUCUGAAAAGACUGAGUCCUGGGGAGAGACAGAAUAAGAUGGCUAGUAAAU
rnacentral:lncRNA from 1 species